rnacentral:rRNA from 1 species
CUACGGGCUGCUCCAGUGGGGAAUAUUGCACAAUGGGCGCAAGCCUGAUGCAGCCAUGCCGCGUGUAUGAAGAAGGCCUUCGGGUUGUAAAGUACUUUCAGCGGGGAGGAAGGGAGUAAAGUUAAUACCUUUGCUCAUUGACGUUACCCGCAGAAGAAGCACCGGCUAACUCCGUGCCAGCAGCCGCGGUAAUACGGAGGGUGUAAGCGUUAAUCGGAAUUACUGGGCGUAGAGCGCACGCAGGCGGUUUGUUAAGUCAGAUGUGAAAUCCCCGGGCUCAACCUGGGAACUGCAUCUGAUACUGGCAAGCUUGAGUCUCGUAGAGGGGGGUAGAAUUCCAGGUGUAGCGGUGAAAUGCGUAGAGAUCUGGAGGAAUACCGGUGGCGAAGGCGGCCCCCUGGACGAAGACUGACGCUCAGGUGCGAAAGCGUGGGGAGCAAACAGGAUUAGAUACCCUAGUAGUC